rnacentral:rRNA from 1 species
AACGAACGCUGGCGGCAUGCCUAACACAUGCAAGUCGAACGAGACCUUCGGGUCUAGUGGCGCACGGGUGCGUAACGCGUGGGAAUCUGCCCUUGGGUUCGGAAUAACAGUUAGAAAUGACUGCUAAUACCGGAUGAUGACGUAAGUCCAAAGAUUUAUCGCCUAAGGAUGAGCCCGCGUAGGAUUAGCUUGUUGGUGAGGUAAAAGCUCACCAAGGCGACGCUCCUUAGCUGGUCUGAGAGGAUGAUCAGCCACACUGGGACUGAGACCCGGCACAGACGACGAGGGGAGGCAGCAGUGGGGACUAAUGGAGCAGGGGCGAAAGCCUGAUCAAGCAAUGCGGCGUGAGUGAUGAAGGCCUUAGGGUUGAAAAGCUCUUGUACCCGAGAUGAUAAUGACAGUACCGGGAGAAUAAGCCGCGGCUAACUCCGUGCCAGCAGCCGCCGCCGUAA